rnacentral:rRNA from 1 species
AAUGAACGCUGGCGGCAUGCCUAACACAUGCAAGUCGAGCGGACAGACGGGGCGCUUGCUCCUCUGCCGCAAGAGGCGGACGGGUGAGUCAUACGUGGAUAACUUACCUGUAAGGCUGGCAUAAUUCCGGGAAACCUGAGCUAACACCGGACAAUAUUUUGAACGACAGGGUUCAAUAGUGAAAGACUGUUCUGCUGUGACUUAUAGCGGGAUCCGAGCCACAUUAGCUAGUAGGUAAGGUACAGGCCUUCCAAGGCGACGAUGCGUAGCCGAACUGAGAGGGUGAUCGGCCACACUGGAACUGAGACACGGUCCAGACUCCUACGGGAGGCAGCAGUAGGGAAUCUUGCGCAAUGGGCGAAAGCCUGACGGAGCAACGCCGCGUGAGUGAUGAAGGUCUUCGGAUCGUAAAACUCUUUUAUUAGGGAAGAAAAAAUGUGUAAGUAAAUAUGCACGUCUUGACGGUACCUACACAGAAAGCCACGGCUAACUACGUG